UUCGGACCUAGAGACCGGCGCACGGGUGCGUAACGCGUAUGCAAUCUACCUUUUACAGAGGGAUAGCCCAGAGAAAUUUGGAUUAAUACCUCAUAGUAUUACGACUCGGCAUCGAGAUGUAAUUAAAGUCACAACGGUAAAAGAUGAGCAUGCGUCCCAUUAGCUUGUUGGUAAGGUAACGGCUUACCAAGGCAACGAUGGGUAGGGGUCCUGAGAGGGAGAUCCCCCACACUGGUACUGAGACACGGACCAGACUCCUACGGGAGGCAGCAGUGAGGAAUAUUGGUCAAUGGGCGCAAGCCUGAACCAGCCAUGCCGCGUGCAGGAUGAAGCAUCUAUGGUGUGUAAACUGCUUUUGUACGAGAAGAAACACUCCUUCGUGAAGGAGCUUGACGGUAUCGUAAGAAUAAGGACCGGCUAACUCCGUGCCAGCAGCCGCGGUAAUACGGAGGGUCCAAGCGUUAUCCGGAAUCAUUGGGUUUAAAGGGUCCGUAGGCGGUUUUGU
rnacentral:rRNA from 1 species